GGCUGGUCUGAGUGCAGAGGUGUUGAUAACUAAUUCAUCACAAUCAGUUACAGAUUUCUUUGUUCCUUCUCCACUCACACUGCUUCACUUGACUAGCCUUUA
ensembl:misc_RNA Y_RNA Y RNA